CGGUUUAUAGUAUACUGACAGGGAUAGUAAAGUUGAUGCGGUGGCUAACCUUAAGAAAAGAGGUGAUGCCUAUGUUGAUCUGUGGCUUUCUCCUAGAAAGGAAUAAGCAUGUCUGUGUUUGAGGCAUUGAUGUUUGCAUUGUCGUUUGCAACAUUGGUCUUGAUCGUCAGCGACAAAGACAACAA
rfam:Enterococcus mundtii QT 25 DNA, complete genome.